rnacentral:misc_RNA from 1 species
GAAAUGCGAUACUUGGUGUGAAUUGCAGAAUCCCGUGAACCAUCGAGUCUUUGAACGCAAGUUGCGCCUUCUGGUAUUCCGGUAGGCAUAUCUGUUUGAGCGUCAGCAAAAACCUCUCAGCAUAUUAUUAUGUUGGUAAUGGGCGUUGGUGGUGAUCCACCCGCUUUAAACCUGCUGCACGACCGCAAGCUACUGCUAGGUUUCAUGAAGUUGGUGUUUACAUUUUUUCAUAACUUAAUAGUUGGCGAGCGGCGUUAAACCCGAUGUCCACUCUUUAACAGGUAGGGACUGAAGUUUGACCUCAAAUCAGAUAAGGAUACCCGCUGAACUUAA